rnacentral:tRNA from 1 species
AGGGAAAUGGGGUAUUGCUGGGACUCAUAAUCCUUUGGUCCACAGUUCAAGUCUGUGACGCCCUACCA